UCUUGCAUCCACCUUAACACCAUUAUCUCCCUCCCCUUGUCUUCUCCUGUGCUCAAUGAUCCCUGAGAGCCAAAUCACUUUGGUUUGGAAUGGGUGGAUAUUCUUGUGUGGGCACACCUCAUUUUCCUUGAUAAAUACGUCAAUGUCUUAGCGCUAUUUAAUUCCUUAUUCUGUUUUCCAGAAUCAGCACACAUAUAAAUCACUGUGGUCAAAGAGUAGACAUAACAAUGGAGUGUUUGUUACCUCUGCUAUCAGCUCUGCCACCACAGGAGGCUCUUGCUGGCUCUCCGUGAGCUGCCUUUGAACAACGUUUCACACGAGGCGCUCUCCUGCUCCCAUGCCAAGAAGCAAGGAGCCUGGGGGCCUCUGAGGGCCACCAGAAGAAGUUGCCACCGGGUGUAGUGGAAAAUGUCUUGGCUGCUAUUACUGGAGAGAAUUUAUUACCCAAUAAUAAACAGCUAUUCACAGCUAUUCCAAGGAAAGUUGCCUAUAGUGUUGUCAGAAAGUCAC